UUACGUGAAGUGCAGAGCUUGGCCUGAAGGACCACAAUCUAUAUUCCAUUGAGCCUUAUCUCGGUUACUUCAGAAAGUAAACCCAGUCAUUACUACCAUCACUGUGGCUUCCAGAAUGUCAGGAUUAAAACGGACCGCAUGGAGUCUUACGCAAGACUGAGUCCACCAGGCAAUUUGAACCAAUAAAUAUCAAAAUCGUGUCCGAGCAAAGGAAAGUUCACCCGACAUUCUACCAACGGGAGUGUGAAGAGUUUUCCAGCUUGGCCUUCACCCUGGUGACCCUGAUUACUUGUCCUUUUUAUUCCCUGGAGAAAUUAGAAGCCCAAUUGUAGAAUGCUGUCCUGAGUUGAAGAUGGUACCUCAAGCCUAGAGUAGGGCAUUUGGCUGCUGAUGCAGCCUGCUUCCUACUGCUAUCUACGUGGCUUGUUCAGAUGCCGCAGCUGA
rnacentral:lncRNA from 1 species